GUGCCCACUUUGGGAGCACACAUACUAAAAGUAGAAUCAUAUAGAGAGUAGCAUGGCCUUUGUGUAAGGAUGAUAUGCAAAUUUAUGAAGCGUUACAUAGUUGU